rnacentral:lncRNA from 1 species
GGUUCGCACGUGAGCGGCGCGGCGGCGCGAGGAAAGGGCGUAGAUCCAUAGAUAGCGCCCUACCCAGAGACCAGAGCUAGCAGUACCCCAUUGACAUAGCUUAGGGGUAUGGGGAAAGAAAAGAACCCAAUGUAUCAAAUUGUACUAAGUAGACGAUGUAAUAACUUAGAUUGUAUUUGGAGGAAUCAAAUGAGAACUGUGAUGUAAAAAUGUAUGAAUGUGAGUGUAUGUAAUAAUAUAGGAUGUGUUAUGUUGUUGAUACCUUCCUUAUGCAAUCUGUUUGUUAAAUACUGUUCCUGAUUGGAACCUUUGUAUUGUAUUGAUUGCGAUGCCUUGAACGUA